rnacentral:rRNA from 1 species
UCCGGGCUCAGGACAAACGCUGGCGGCGUGUUUAACACAAGCAAGACGAACGAAGAGCGAGGGAAGCUUGCUUCUAUCAAUCUUAGUGGCGAACGGGUGAGUAACGCGUAAUCAACCUGCCCUUCAGAGGGGGACAACAGUUGGAAACGACUGCUAAUACCGCAUACGAUCUAAUCUCGGCAUCGAGGAUGGAUGAAAGGUGGCCUCUAUUUAUAAGCUAUCACUGAAGGAGGGGAUUGCGUCUGAUUAGCUAGUUGGAGGGGUAACGGCCCACCAAGGCGAUGAUCAGUAGCCGGUCUGAGAGGAUGAACGGCCACAUUGGGACUGAGACACGGCCCAGACUCCUACGGGAGGCAGCAGUGGGGAAUCUUCCGCAAUGGACGAAAGUCUGACGGAGCAACGCCGCGUGAGUGAUGACGGCCUUCGGGUUGUAAAGCUCUGUUAAUCGGGACGAAAGGCCUUCUUGCGAAUAGUUAGAAGGAUUGACGGUACCGGAAUAGAAAGCCACGGCUAACUACGUGCCAGCAGCCGCGGUAAUACAUAGGUGGCAAGCGUUGUCCGUAAUUAUUGGGCGUAAAGCGCGCGCAGGCGGAUUGGUCAGUCUGUCUUUAAAGUUCGGGGCUUAACCCCGUGAUGGGAUGGAAACUGCCAAUCUAGAGUAUGGGUGAGGAAAGUGGAAUUCCUAGUGUAGCGGGGAAGUGCGUGGAUAUUAGGAAGAACACCAG